GACGUAGGGCGCGAGCGUUGUCCGGAUUUAUUGGGCGUAAAGAGCUCGUAGGCGGCUUGUCGCGUCGAAUGUGAAAACCUGCAGCUCAACUGCAGGCUUGCGGUCGAUACGGGCAGGCUAGAGUUCGGUAGGGGAGACUGGAAUUCCUGGUGUAGCGGUGAAAUGCGCAGAUAUCAGGAGGAACACCGGUGGCGAAGGCGGGUCUCUGGGCCGAUACUGACGCUGAGGGGCGAAAGCGUGGGGAGCGAACAGG
rnacentral:rRNA from 1 species